UGCCCGCCCCCUUUGUGACCUCAUACAAAGGCUUGGCUACUACUGCAAAGUUUGGGAUGCACAGUCUACAAAACUGCACAGCCCCUAAGAAUUCCCUCACCUGCCCCCUUUGUGACCUCAUACAAAGGCUUGGCUAAUACUGCAAAGUUUGGGAUGCAGAGUCUACAAAACCCCACAGCCCCUAAGAAUUCCCUCACCUGCCUUCUGCCCUUAGGCUCCGGUAGACUGCAAAUGACCUGCUUUCUUUCUGUUCCCGGGCUGCGUUUGGACCCCUGUCGGACAGUAAAUCCCAAGAAUGGAACAGAUAAGAAGAUACUGAAAUUGGACGGUGCUGCCGUGCGGCUGCCGCAGGACACCUUUAAUAUCCCUGUUUCUCAGGCUGUAGAUGAAGGGGUUCAGCAUGGAGGUGAUCACCGUGUACAUCACUGAGGCCACUGCAGCCUUUCUCGGGGAAGAUGACACAUCUGAACUGAGGUACCCUCCAAAGCCUGUUCCGUAAAAUCAGCAAACAACUGACAGGAUAACUUCAGGAAGUGGGUAUUAAUUCUCACGGUAUAAGUGAAGACAUUAAGCACCAGAGUUUAAGUAGCUUGAUCCACUGAAAGAGAUUCAACUGUGUGGAACCUAUGCCGUGGAGAAUUGCUUUCUGCCAUUGUUAUCGUCCAGCAGUUGCCGAAUAGCUCUGACCUGAGCAAAGCAGUGAAACGCGGUGCUGUUGAGUGGGUUGCCACUGCACCUUUUUCAACUACUCUAGUCUUGUGGAGAAAAUACCCCUUCUAAAUUUUUUCUUCAUUGAAUACUCUCCCUCAGCUCCAGAGUACCAUAUAGAGUUUUCUUGUAUUUUAGAGUUACUGUUUUAUCAAAGUUUACCAGUCUUUUGUAUUACAUUUCUCCUGUCUAAAUCGACUGUGUGGUUUCUACUCAUUAUGGAUAUAGAUUGAUACAAACUCAAUAAAUAUUUUUGAAUGAAU
rnacentral:lncRNA from 1 species